UCUUUUCAAUACGAGCAGGACAAUUUUCACAAGCUUUUUCUACUAUAAUAGUUUCAAUCUUAACAUUCUUAGUAGAUAACAAAGCAUCAUUUAACUCUUUCUCUAAUUUUUCAUUAUCAGCAACAAGGUUGUUAAUUCUAUACUCAUACUCUCUUCUUUCAGAGUUUAGUCAAUUAACCUUGUAUUCCAGUCGCAUUGCUUCUGCAUGCAGUUCUCUGAAUGUUUGAAUUAGUUGUUGAUACUUCUCUUUUAUUGGUAGCUUCUCAAAUUCUUCAUCACUGUCAUUGUCAUCACUUGAUGUUCCAGCCAUGUGGCAGAUGUUGGAUUCCUCCUCUUGAUCAUCAUCUUCAUCAUUGAGCUUUCAGACUCUGUAUCCUCCCAAGCAAUGUUAGCUCCUUUUCUUUUCAUGUUUCUGCCUUGAGGGAAUCUUUUCUUUCCUUUC
rnacentral:lncRNA from 1 species